rnacentral:rRNA from 1 species
CGUCAGGAAGUGAACGGACUGGCGGGCGACUAGCGUUAACUAACACUAGUCAAGUCGUAACGGGAAGGUAGGUGGUUUCCUACGUGGCGAACGGGUAGGAGUAACGCGUAAGAACCUAGCCUUCGGAGGGGAACGAACAACUGAACGGUUAGGCUAAUACCCGUACGGCUGAGGAGGCAAAGAGAAUACGCCACGAGGGCGUCGCGUCUGAUUAGCUAGUUGGUGAGGCAAUAGCUUACCAAGGCGAUGAUCAGUAGCUGGUCCGAGAGGAUGAUCAGCCACACUGGGACUGAGACACGGCCCAGACUCCUACAGGAGGCAGCAGUGGGGAAUUUUCCGCAAUGGGCGAAGGCCUGACGGAGCAAUGCCGCGUGGAGGUGGAAGGCCUACGGGUCGUCAACUUCUUUUCUCGGAGAAGAAACAAUGACGGUAUCUGAGGAAUAAGCAUCGGCUAACUCUGUG